GCUAAUGGCUGUCUGAGUUCCAAGGGGCUGGCGAGACUAGAUGGCUUCUGGUGCCUUUCAUAUCUGGGGAUCUUCGCCUGGGACUAGUGGU
rnacentral:miRNA from 1 species